GACGAACGCUGGCGGCAUGCCUAAUACAUGCAAGUUGAGCGCUGAAGGUUGGUACUUGUACCAACUGGAUGAGCAGCGAACGGGUGAGUAACGCGUGGGGAAUCUGCCUUUGAGCGGGGGACAACAUUUGGAAACGAAUGCUAAUACCGCAUAAAAACUUUAAACACAAGUUUUAAGUUUGAAAGAUGCAAUUGCAUCACUCAAAGAUGAUCCCGCGUUGUAUUAGCUAGUUGGUGAGGUAAAGGCUCACCAAGGCGAUGAUACAUAGCCGACCUGAGAGGGUGAUCGGCCACAUUGGGACUGAGACACGGCCCAAACUCCUACGGGAGGCAGCAGUAGGGAAUCUUCGGCAAUGGACGAAAGUCUGACCGAGCAACGCCGCGUGAGUGAAGAAGGUUUUCGGAUCGUAAAACUCUGUUGGUAGAGAAGAACGUUGGUGAGAGUGGAAAGCUCAUCAAGUGACGGUAACUACCCAGAAAGGGACGGCUAACUACGUG
rnacentral:rRNA from 1 species